rnacentral:misc_RNA from 1 species
UAUUAUUAGAACAGUUUCUGUACUAUAUUGUG